GGGGAUUUAGCUCAGUGGCAUAAGCACCUGCCUUGCAAGCAGACGGUCGUGAGUUCAAUCCCCG
rnacentral:tRNA from 1 species